AAUGUACUCCCUCCAUCCCAAAAUUCUUGUCUUAGAUUUGUCCAAAUACGGAUGUAUCAAGUCACGUUUUAGUAUUAGGCACAUCCGUAUCUAGACAAAUUUAAGACAAGAAUUUUGGGACGGAGGGAGUAGUAA
rnacentral:pre_miRNA from 1 species